rfam:Lonsdalea quercina strain ATCC 29281 genome assembly, contig: Ga0052894_scaffold00007.7
GCUUAUUCUCAGGGCGGGGCGUAAUUCCCCACCGGCGGUAAACCAGUCCAUACACGGUAUGAGGUUGGAAGCCCGCGAGCGCUCAGACUGUCGUAUUAGGUUUGAGGUCAGCAGAUCCGGUGAAAUUCCGGGGCCGACGGUUAAAGUCCGGAUGGGAGAGAGUAACG